GUGGUGGCGGUGACAGAGACUGCAGCAUGACCAGAGUGGCUUUUCUGGCUUUGCCCGCCCAGCUGCUCUGUGCCAGGAGGAGGAGGAGACACCUAGAGCCUGCAACACCAUGGCUCGCCUCGCUGCGGGUGGGUGGCAGUGACAGAGACUGCAGUGCACCAGAACGGUAGGAGAGCGGCCACGCUAGGAGGGCAGGCGGCUGCAGGCAGGGUUGGGAGUCAGGCUUACAGCGAUGGACGGGCUGCAGCAGUGGCCAGGUGGUAGGAGCCUUGUAGGGAGGGCUGGUGCAUUGGCAAUGGGCCUGGCUUUGCCCUGUGCCUGCCGUGGAUCUGGCCCUGUACUGCCCUGCCUUGCCCUGUACCUGCCCUACUGUUACCUGGACUCUCGGCCCUGUCCUGCUCUGGUCCCAUCCUGUCCCUGUCUCGGCCCUGUGCUACCCUGUCCCUUCCCUGGUCUUGCCCUGGCACUGGCCCUGCCCCGAACCUG
rnacentral:lncRNA from 1 species